GUGGUAAGUAAAUUUUUUUUAUAAAAUUAUUAAAUUAAGAAACUGUUGCAUAAUUUGGCGAAAUUAAUUUUUUAAAAAAUAAUUUUACUUUUGCAGACAUCAUAGGAGCAGUUGGUGAUGCAGCAACUGAAAUAGGAAAAGGAAGUAAGUGACUGCAUAAAUCAGUUAUUUUUGAAAACAUUCUAUGACAUGCAAAAAUGUUAAACUCAAAUAUUAUAUUUUUCAAAAAGCUUUGUUUAAAUGUUUUAACUUUCACUAUCUUUCGAUCUUUUUUUUUAAAGCUUUUCUUAUCAGUUAUUUAAAUGACAGUUUACGAGCCUCUGAACUAAUCAUUUCGGAUUUAUAAUAUCAAACAUUUAUAUGAAGUAUUAAAUGAAUAAUUCCCAGAGCUGUAAGAUGUUACUCGAUUAAAAACUUCAUUCGCUUCGAAAAUAUACAAAUUGGAAACAACAGUCGACAUGUUCUAAGCACUCAAUAAAAAG